CAGCAGCCACGGUAACACGUAGGGUGCAAGCGUUAAUCGGAAUUACUGGGCGUAAAGCGUGCGCAGGUGGUUCGCUAAGACAGAUGUGAAAUCCCCGGGCUUAACCUGGGAACUGCAUUUGUGACUGGCGGGCUAGAGUAUGGCAGAGGGGGGUAGAAUUCCACGUGUAGCAGUGAAAUGCGUAGAGAUGUGGAGGAAUACCGAUGGCGAAGGCAGCCCCCUGGGCCAAUACUGACGCUCAUGCACGAAAGCGUGGGGAGCAAACAGGAUUAGAUACCCCUGUAGUCCCUGUCUCUUAUAC
rnacentral:rRNA from 1 species